CCCCGGGGCCAGAAGUUGAAAUGCCGGCCAAUAUCCAGUUUCCACUGGAACAGUUGGAGGCAGUGGAGGCAUUUUUGAAUGAACCAUCAAAUGGCCCAGUUCGACAAAGAGUGAUUUCUUCUUUGGCCACCAUUGGAGGCGGGUGACCUGGAACAUCCUGGGCAGGAUGUUCACAGAUGACGUUUCAGAUCAGAUCAAUUGGAAGGGUGUCAACAACAAAAAGGCCUUUAGCAGAAUGGCAACAAAGACCUUGCUUUUCAAGCCAGAUGAGGAGGUUCGGGCAUCUGGUCAGGAUGCCACCCGAACGCCUCCCGAGGGAGGUGUUUCGGGCACGUCCGACCGGUAGGAGGCCACGAGGAAGACCCAGGACACGUUGGGAAGACUAUCUUUCCCGGCUGGCCUGGGAACGCCUCGGGAUCCCCCAGGAGGAGCUGGACGAAGUGGCUGGGGAGAGGGAAAUCUGGGCUUCCCUGCUUAGGCUGCUGCCCCGCGACCCAACCUCGGAUAAGCGGAAGAAGAUGGAUGGAUGGGAUAUUUUGUAUUGUGUGCUGUGAGAAAAAAUGUGGUGACAAGGUCAGCCACGGAUGCUGAGGUCACCAAACACGCCAUCAGGUGGUUCAACCUGGCGGCGGAUCGGGCAACCAGUAGACGAGUCCCGCCUCCACCACCUCAGGAGGAAUAGAAAUGUAUCAAUUAAACAAUCUUUUAUUGAA